CAGCAGCCGCGGGAAUACAGAGGGUGCGAGCGUUAAUCGGAUUUACUGGGCGUAAAGCGUGCGUAGGCGGCUUUUUAAGUCGGAUGUGAAAUCCCUGAGCUUAACUUAGGAAUUGCAUUCGAUACUGGGAAGCUAGAGUAUGGGAGAGGAUGGUAGAAUUCCAGGUGUAGCGGUGAAAUGCGUAGAGAUCUGGAGGAAUACCGAUGGCGAAGGCAGCCAUCUGGCCUAAUACUGACGCUGAGGUACGAAAGCAUGGGGAGCAAACAGGAUUAGAUACUCCGGUAGUCCCUGUCUCUUAUAA
rnacentral:rRNA from 1 species